UAUACAUUCAGUGUUAAGUGAGAUCAUCAACAUUUUAAGACAUUUUAUGUGAUUCUUUCACAGAAAGAAGUGCUCAGACUCAACGUUUAAUUGUUGUGCACACAGUUGUGCCAAUGAAGGGCAACUUCUCUCUUUUCCCCUUGAAGCUGUAGCAACUCCAAACAGCAUUUGUUGCCACAGACCGCAUCACUCUCCUGACGCACUCUCCAGGAGUGGCCCCACCAGUGAGGCUGAGAUGGUGAAUCUGUUGAAAAUAACCAGGCCUUGAAGCAGCAGACAAAUGAGUACCACACCAAAUAUGUUUUUGUUUCAAUUUCCCCGGUGUCCACAUUUCUGAAGACGUCUCCUGGUCCCUUAAACCUCAGUGCAAGAAAGGUGAAACAUUGGUAAUGAAAUGUGUUACACUUCAGUAGUUGUCUUAACUAAGACAUUUAUAUUAUAACAUUACCCAAGAGAUAUAUAUUAUAACAUUACUUCCCAUCAUAUGGCAAUAGGAUCACUAAGGAAGAGCUGCAUCUCCUGAAAUGUAACUCCAAGAACACUCACCUCUUGAGGCCAUUUACCACUUUCAAAAAAGUAUACAUUUGCAUCUUAUUCUACAUUGAAAGUUUUGGUUUGCAAUACAAAAUUAUGUUUUCUGACUCAAACCAUCUGUGGCAUGUGCGUGUCUGUCAAUGAUCACCUAUGCCAGUCAUUUUUCCCUCUGCCUCAGGAACGU